GGGUCGUUAGCUCAGCCGGUAGAGCAUCUGACUUUUAAUCAGAGGGUCGUUGGUUCGAAUCCAACUGGGCUCACCA
rnacentral:tRNA from 1 species